AUUGAACGCUAGCGGCAUGCCUAACACAUGCAAGUCGAACGAGUGGCGGACGGGUGAGUAAUAUCUGGGAACCUGCCUUGUGGCGGGGGAUAACUACUGGAAACGGUAGCUAAUACCGCCUACCAUCGGAUGAGCCCAUAUGGGAUUAGCUAGUAGGUGGGGUAAAGGCUCACCUAGGCGACGAUCCCUAGCUGGUCUGAGAGGAUGACCAGCCACACGUGAACUGAGACACGGUCCAGACUCCUACGGGAGGCAGCAGUGGGGAAGAUUGAAAAAUGGGCGAAAGCCUGAUGCAGCCAUGCCGCGUGUAUGAAGAAGGCCUUCGGGUUUUAAAGUACGUUCAGCGGGGAGGCGGUAACUGCAGAAGAAGCACCGGCUAACUCCGUGCCAGCAGCCGCGGUAAUUC
rnacentral:rRNA from 1 species